AAAUGAUUGGGGUGAAGUCGUAACAAGGUAGCCGUAUCGGAAGGUGCGGCUGGAUCACCUCCUUU
rnacentral:rRNA from 1 species